rnacentral:rRNA from 1 species
UACGUAGGGGGCGAGCGUUGUCCGGAGUUACUGGGCGUAAAGGGCAUGCAGGCGGUCCGACACGUUUUGUGUGACAGCGGGUGGCUUAACUACCCGAGGAUGCGAAAGACGGUUGGACUUGAGGACUCGAGAGGGACACGGAAUUCCGGGUGGAGUGGUGAAAUGCGUAGAGAUCCGGAGGAACACCGAAGGCGAAGGCAGUGUCCUGGCGAGUGACUGACGCUGAGGUGCGAAAGCCAGGGAGCGAACGGG